AAUUAAAGCUAGCUAGCUUUGUAUAUUUAAAUAAUAGUACUAAGAAGCUGAUAAUUAAGAAGCUUGGGGCUAACGCAAGCAUGCUGUUCAUCAAUUUAACCCUGAGCAAAGGCAAUCUUAAUAUUUAAACAAUGUACAAGUAACAAGUGCUACUCACUCGCAUGCUUGCAUGCAGAUAACAAUUUUUUACGAGAGCUAGCUGUGCACCCAAAGAACAAAUGCAGAUAUAGAAGUUCAUAUAAAUCGGUCAAUGAAUAGCCAUUUCACUAUGGACGAAGACUGGAUACUCAUGAUCGACUAUUUUUACAUUCUGGAUCAUCAAUAAUUUCCUCUUAACGAGCAUUGCGAGGGGUAAAUUCGUAAAAAAGAAAAAGAAGAUGAGCAGCAGUGCAAGAGAGGGUGAGGUCAACAGGGGAGUGGGUAGAAGUAGUACGCUAGACAUUGGGUACACUAGCAUCUCCGUGGUGGGCCCUCGUGUUCCCCGGCCCAUCCCUCUCGAUGGCCUUCGCCUUCACACCCCCAAGCUGUGAUCGAUCGAUCGAGCGAGCGAGCUAUAGCUUCUCCGCUUCUCCAUCUCCUGCCCUGUAGCUAUCACCCUCUUCCAGCUUGCCUCCAUUUCCUCUCUCUCUCUCCCCUUAAGCUUCUCUCUAUAUCAAUCUCGAUCUCCAUGCCGCCAUUGCACACACCUGCACUCAGGCUCAGCUAACUACCUACCUCCUUAUAAACGCCGCCUGCCUCGAUCGAUUGAUCGAUCUCCUCUCCAGGCUCCAUAACCUAGUAAUACUACUACCUUAGCUUAGUUAGUAGUUUACCUAGCUAGAUAGCAGCUGGCUGCAACAGAUAUGAGAGUUAAUUAGCUAGUGCAAUGCAUGCGUUACAAUUAGCCUCUGGUAUGAGAGAGUGAGUUAAUCAGUUGGCAACUCAACCGAUCGACCUGAGGAAACUAGCGGAAGACUCCAAAGGGAUCGCAUUGAUCUGGGCUAGCUAGCUAUCUCGAUCAGCUGCUGCUGCCUGUGUGUGCAUCUGAAACAUACACGCAUGCACGAGACGACUCGCGUGCGAGAUCGAUCAGUGCAAUCCCUUUGGAAUUUUCCACUUGCUUCCGCCUCCUCAUCCUUUCCUUCCAUUUAUACCUAGCUAACUCUUUCCCCCCUUCAUGCGCUUGCCGGCUUGCUGCGUCCAUCGCCGACUUCAAUAUAAUCCGCUGCUCCAUUCAGGAGAUGAUCGAAUCCCAGGGAGGCGCACAGUAGUCCUGAACUGCAGGUGCAAGCUAGCUAGCUGUUAGACACAACAAGGAUCAAGUGGUUUGAUUGGUGAUGUAUAAAUUGAAGCGAAAGGGAUCGAUAUAAAGUGGAGAAGGAAACGUGGAGAACUUGUUUUGCAUGAAACUUUUACACGGUACAGGACAUCGAAUGGUGAUAUAAUAUGCCUAUAAUAAUAAGCUAGCUCAUUGGAAAUUUGCUUCUUCCUUUUUCUGAUCUUGCUUUUUAUGAGCAUUAUUCCCUGGCCUUGUUGCUUAAAAGUGACCAGAGUACGCAUCUCGCAACUCAUUGCACUGAUGCUACCAAUAAAUUAAGAUUCGAUUGUCAUCAAGAAAAGAGCCAAGAAACUGGCUCACGCGUACCUAUCUAGAUUUUCUUCCCCACGCAUAUAUAUCUAACAAAAUAAGUAAUCUUUGCAAGAGAAAUUGAGCCCAUAAAAAACGACCGAUUACAUAAAUUAAUUACAGAACAUUGUCCAGAAAACCCAUUUUAAUUAAGCUAUCGACAAAUUAUAAGUAACGCAUUACAUUUUGAACUGUGUUUGUCUGCUUGAAGUUCAUACUUGGCGGUGAAAGAAGCUGUUUUGACCGACAGGGGUAAAACAUAUGGAGUCCGGGCAAGUUCCAUUUAUGAUGAUGGUAAGAUAUGUAUGCAAGCCGGGCUGUUCUCACGGCUGAACAGCUGAACUACUCUGAAUGCCUGCCUGGGCUCUUGAGCUGAGCGGUCUGCUAGCUUUCUGAUCUCUCCUGGCUGAUCAGUAUCCAUUUUCUUUUGCCCAAUGGCUAAGUGCAGUAUAACAUGCAGUAUAUAUUCGAUCAACUGUUUAACAAAGAUGAAAACUGAGGAAAUAUGUGAUGUUUUUAAACUUGUUGGUGAUGAUUUCCUUCACUUCAUGUCAAAGGAAAAUUUCUUUCAAGAAAAUCUCAAAUUCACGACAAGAAUUCUGAAGCCCAGCCCACGAGGCAGUGAAACCCCAGGUGCCUGAUGGGCCGUAACAUUGUCCAGACUCCUGACACGAUGUAUCCACGACGCAUACCGCGGCCAUACGGCCCAGGCAGGAAGUCUGGGUGGUUGGGUUGGUUGAUUGGUCGCUCGUAGCAGCAGCGGGGCGUUGCUUUCGGUGGCUCGCUGGUUCCGUGAAGCAACUUGCACAUCCAUCCACGAGACCACCACAUGGCCCAACCCGUGUGCCCCUCUCGGUCUCUCCUCCUCCUCCUCAUCCAUGUGCGCGGCGCGGGGCGUGGUCGUGGACGUGGAGGAUUCCAAUCCAAUCCAAGGCAGGGCAAAGCAGCAGGCAGCAGGAGCAGUCACUGUUGGAGUUGGUUGGUAUCGCCGGCCGCUUAUCCACUGCCGAGCCAGUGCACGCCACGGAUAACGGGCGGACGCUGGUAAUCCGCCGCCGCUGGUGCAUAUCAUAUCCACUCUGGCAAGCAAAACCAAGAAACGCGAUGGCUUCGUCGCACCGCAAGGCUGGACUGGACUGGACGGACGACGUCCUGGAAUCCAGGAGUAAUGGCGGCGAGACUAUGGCUGGGUUUGGGUUCCUUGGCAUGCAGGGCGCCGUGGACGAGAGAUAUGAUGUAUCGGUGACGAGAUAUCCAUCCAUCCAUCGGUUGACAAGUUGAUCAUUGGAUUGGACAGCCAUUAUUCACGGAAAUGAUCGAAUGAUCAUGAUCGAUCAUCGAUCGAUCGAUGGAUGUGCAUGCAUGCAUGGGUUGCAUAUAUUCAGAGUGGCGGCCCGGCGGGUGGGGCCAAGCGCGCGCGGAUGCAACUUGGACGUGUCGUGCUCUCGACGGAGGGGGCUCGCGAGACGUCGACCGGCGGCCGCGUCGACGUGAUUUCCCAAGUGGCCGCCGCACGGCACAAACAUCUGACCGUCGGUUGCACACUCGCUGCAAAUUGCCAGUGGUACUCUGCGCAGUAGUAGAAAGAGACAUUGCCUGGAAAUUGGAAUAUUAUUAUCUCUGGCCAGGCAGCAACAUUUCUCACUUGUUUGUGACCUGUGAGCCAUCCACCACUAGCUACCGAUUCAUCCACCGAUGACCCUGCAAGUAGCUGACCAUCGGUCGAUUCUACAUUUCAGUCUACGAUGCUCUUGAUAUUUGAGUUACUGUUUUAUCUGUGGCUUACAAGUCACUAUAAUUUGUUGAACUGGACUUAUGGAUAAAAGAAAAGGAAUUGCCCUGUUCU